rnacentral:rRNA from 1 species
AUUCGCAAGAACCUCAUGCUCGUGGAGCGGCCGAUAUCUGAUUAGCUAGUUGGUAGGGUAAAAGCCUACCAAGGCAUCGAUCAGUAGCUGGUCUGAGAGGACGACCAGCCACACUGGAACUGAGACACGGUCCAGACUCCUACGGGAGGCAGCAGUGGGGAAUUUUGGACAAUGGGCGAAAGCCUGAUCCAGCAAUGCCGCGUGAGUGAAGAAGGCCUUCGGGUUGUAAAGCUCUUUUGUCAGGGAAGAAACGGUGAAAGCUAAUAUCUUUUGCUAAUGACGGUACCUGAAGAAUAAGCACCGGCUAACUACGUGCCAGCAGCCGCGGUAAUACGUAGGGUGCAAGCGUUAAUCGGAAUUACUGGGCGUAAAGCGUGCGCAGGCGGUUUUGUAAGUCUGAUGUGAAAUCCCCGGGCUCAACCUGGGAAUUGCAUUGGAGACUGCAAGGCUAGAAUCUGGCAGAGGGGGGUAGAAUUCCACGUGUAGCAGUGAAAUGCGUAGAUAUGUGNGNANGGAACACCGAUNGGCGAAGGCAGCCCCCUGGGUCAAGAUUGACGCUCAUGCACGAAAGCGUGGGGAGCAAACAGGAUUAGAUACCCUGGUAGUCCACGCCCUAAACGACGUCUACUAGUUGUCGGGUCUUAAUUGACUUGGUAACGCAGCUAACGCGUGAAGUAGACCGCCUGGGGAGUACGGUNCGCGAAGAUUAAAACUCAAAGGAAUUGACGGGGACCCGCACAAGCGGUGGAUGAUGUGGAUUAAUUCGAUGCAACGCGAAAAACCUUACCUACCCUUGACAUGGCUGGAAUCCUUGAGAGAUUGAGGAGUGCUCGAAAGAGAACCAGUACACAGGUGCUGCAUGGCUGUCGUCAGCUCGUGUCGUGAGAUGUUGGGUUAAGUCCCGCAACGAGCGCAACCCUUGUCAUUAGUUGCUACGAAAGGGCACUCUAAUGAGACUGCCGGUGACAAACCGGAGGAAGGUGGGGAUGACGUCAAGUCCUCAUGGCCCUUAUGGGUAGGGCUUCACACGUCAUACAAUGGUACAUACAGAGCGCCGCCAACCCGCGAGGGGGAGCUAAUCGCAGAAAGUGUAUCGUAGUCCGGAUUGUAGUCUGCAACUCGACUGCAUGAAGUUGGAAUCGCUAGUAAUCGCGGAUCAGCAUGUCGCGGUGAA